rnacentral:rRNA from 1 species
UACGGAGGGUGCGAGCGUUGUCCGGAAUCACUGGGCGUAAAGGGCGCGUAGGUGGCGCGGGAAGUCAACGGUGAAAGUUCGGGGCUCAACCCUGAAUCGGCCGUCGAUACUCCCGGGCUCGAGCACUGUAGAGGCAGAUGGAAUUCCGGGUGUAGCGGUGGAAUGCGUAGAGAUCCGGAAGAACACCGGUGGCGAAGGCGGUCUGCUGGGCAGGUGCUGACACUGAUGCGCGACAGCGUGGGGAGCAAACAGG